UUCUCAUAUUUAUGUGAACAACUCGGAAUUUUGUAUUCAAUUGAAAAAGCAGACUUGCAAUUGGCGAGGUUUGAAUGUAUUUGACUUCGUCACAUGACAGCUCGCAUAUCUGUCAAGUUAGAAACGUAAACAAACACGGACAACCGCCCGUAAAGAUUGUGUGCAGAAUAAUCGUGAAAUUUUAUGUGAAAACUCGGGAAAAGGUAAGUGUUCUGUGCAUAUUUCAGUAAAUAAACUAUCUUUUAAUGCUUGAACACAUUAUUCCACAGGAAAAACAUCAUUUCAUCCCGAAAUUUGGCAACAUUCGUCCGAGUAUGAUCGAGCAGCUGUGUGUGUGUGUGUAUGCCGACGAAAUACGACGCCGUUUCUACAACAAUCACUAAAGCCGGCUGUGAUCGUGAUCGGCACAUUCUCAACUGGACCAACACACCGGUCGUUGUGUAUCUUCAAGCAAACCAACGUUUCCAUACACCACAAAAUAGCAUGGAAAGGAAAGUAUUAUAAAAUAAUGUCAUAUUUGAAAGCAUUCUAAUCUUUCAUUGUUAUUUUUCCACUGCAAACAGGACAUUGUAUCACCGCAUCGACAAGUGGUGUUUAUGUGCAAGUGUUGCGAAGAAGUGUGUUGUACGGUGUAUUAUGUGUUUUGCUUUAUUUGUAUCGCUUUGCAAGUGGUACAAUUAGUGCGUUUAAUCGUUGUGCUACUGCUAACGAAAAAACGACCCGAGCAUUAGAAGCGGCAACAAUACAUGUGCCUGACGCAGAGACAACAACGCCGUCGGCAUCCGUUGAUACCAUCCAAAGUGAUGGUUGAAAUCGUAUUUAAACGUGUAAAACCAUAUAUUGGGGCAUGUAAGUAUUGAAUAAUAGUUAAAUAA